UGCCUUAGUAACUGCGAGUGAAGCGGCAAAAGCUCAAAUUUGAAAUCUGGCGUCUUCGACGUCCGAGUUGUAAUUUGGAGGGGCAUCUUCGGAAUUGGCGCCGUCCUAAGUUCCUUGGAACAGGACGUCAUAGAGGGUGAGAAUCCCGUGCCUGGAUGGCUGUCCAAUUCCAUGUGAAGUGUCUCCGACGAGUCGAGUUGUUUGGGAAUGCAGCUCAAAAUGGGUGGUAAAUUUCAUCUAAAGCUAAAUAUUGGCGAGAGACCGAUAGCGCACAAGUAGAGUGAUCGAAAGAUGAAAAGCACUUUGAAAAGAGAGUUAAAAAGUACGUGAAAUUGUUGAAAGGGAAGCGCUUGAGACCAGACUCAAUCUUAGGUGAUCAGCCGUGCUUCUGUACGGUGCACUUGCCUUUGAUUGGGCCAGCAUCAGUUCUGACGGCGGGAUAAAAUGCGGAGGAAUGUGGCUCUCUUCGGGGAGUGUUAUAGCCUCUGUAACAAUGCCGCCAGUUGGGACUGAGGACCGCGCUUCGGCUAGGAUGCUGGCGUAAUGGUCUUAAGCGACCCGUCUUGAAACACGGACCAAGGAGUCUAACAUCUAUGCGAGUGUUCGGGUGGAAAACCCUUGCGCGUAAUGAAAGUGAACGGAGGUGUGAACCUUUCGGGGUGCAACAUCGACCGAUCCUGAUGUUUUCGGAAGGAUUUGAGUAAGAGCAUAGCUGUUGGGACCCGAAAGAUGGUGAACUAUGCCUGAAUAGGGUGAAGCCAGAGGAAACUCUGGUGGAGGCUCGCAGCGGUUCUGACGUGCAAAUCGAUCGUCAAAUUUGGGUAUAGGGGCGAAAGACUAAUCGAACCAUCUAGUA
rnacentral:rRNA from 1 species